rnacentral:rRNA from 1 species
UACAGAGGUCUCAAGCGUUGUUCGGAAUCACUGGGUGUAAAGGGCGCGUAGGCGGACUGUCAAGUCAGUCGUGAAAUACCGGGGCUCAACCCCGGGACUGCAUUUGGAACUGCUGAGCUAGAGUGUCGGAGAGGCAAGUGGAAUUCCUAGUGUAGCGGUGAAAUGCGUAGAUAUUAGGAGGAACACCAGUGGCGAAGGCGGCUUGCUGGACGAUGACUGACGUUGAGGCUCGAAAGCGUGGGGAGCAAACAGG